UAUUGCUUUAAGGUGGUACUGAUUCAUUGGUAUUCAGUGGGAGAGAGUCAGCGUUUAGAUUGGAGAGCAUGUAUAAAUGAGAGAAGAAGCUGUAAUGUUUCGAUUGCAUUAAUAAAAGGGGAAGCCUUCGCUGUGGGUUUAUAGGAUUCUUGUGUCGCUGGGGUCCAUUCACUUUCACAAACAUGAAGCUGUUUGACUGCAGAAAGUGCAUUUGUGGGAUCCUUGUGACUGCAUAAAACAUUAUGUAAUCAAUACUGUGUAAUAGGUACUGAUACCAGAUGAGUAGAGUAUUGAGUUGUGUAUAGAGGUAUGGAUUACUGUGGUAUUGAUCGGACAGCUGUAACCCUCUCCUUUCCUCUCCUGGGUCUUUUAGGUUGCUGUUUUUCCUGAUCUCCUUUGUUCUGCAGAGUUUUUCUUCCUCCUCUUUCUGCUCCUAUCUCGUUCCCCUCAUUUUGGAGCACCCCCACUAAUCUGCAGAAUUAACUUAUUCUGCAUCUACCUGUAUUCUUUGAUUAUUGCUGAAAGCCUGAGCACUGAAACUGGCUGGGAUUAUGUCCUAGUGGAGUGUUUGAUGUUCCCCCCAUAAUGAGGCUGGCAGCAGAGGCGCCGCCACGCUUUAAACCAACCCUUUUAUGUGGAUGUAAUGUUGCAGCCAUCUUAAAAGCAGUUAUUACAGAGACAUCGCAUUCAGCCAGGCGUGUCCACUCCUGCAUCAAUUUAGGGUCACACCCGGGUCAAAUGGUGUUUAUGCUCAGCUGCAUUGCUAAUAGUUUUGUUAGCUUGAGGCAGCGCUGGAUUUCAGAGAGGCCUGCGAAAUUGCAACAGUGAGUCAAUGCAAGAUAACACAUACACACACACUCACUGUCACAGCUCAUAUGGGAAGUACUUAUUGGAUGAUGCACGGAACUUAGUUUAUUGACUGAUAAGAAUGUGUGUGUAUGAGCGCGUGUGUGCGUCUCAAGCACUACAAUUAUCACAUCCAGAGACCCCAAAGUUAUAAAGCUAGAAUUAAUUUGUCACUCUGUUCAGACAAAGGGAGUCCAACAGCCAGACCUGCUUCUUUUCACAUUAAGGAGCGUUAAGUAAAGCAGUUAAAGACAUGGAAAUGUUUUUAUUGAAUCUCUAUAAAUUCAUGUUUAUUCGCACAAAAUUAAACACUGUGUUUCUUAAUUGGAAACCAACAACGUUUUGAUUUUUGGCAGGGUUUCAUCCUCUGUUCUUGGAAAAAGUGAGACUAUAAAUGUAGUCUUUGCUUAACCUCCUCUGACCUGCUCCUUUGAUGUGCACUUUUAUUUCUUCUUAGCUAUUCAGGAUUAGUAAAAAAGAGACUGGGUGAAUAAAAAGUGGAUCAGAGUUCUUUGUUGCAAAUAAUUCAUGAGUCUAAGCCAGUGAUACACUCUUUGGGAGCGUUUGCAGGUGUAUUGUCUCAAACAGAUUAGUUUGAUCAGUCUGAAAAUAAUGUGAGGAGUUUUACCUGGAUAUGAAACAGUCUGUAUUUUUAAAUUGAUGCCUCUGUGUUUUCAAUAAAAUAUGGCCAGGACCUACUGGGACUAGAUCAGGCACAAAGUAGACUGUAUCAAGAUGAUCUGCAGCAGAUUUAGCUUGUACUCCUCACUAAAGCAGGGUCAUCAUAGGAGGGGAAAAGUGGGACCAACUAUCCAGGGCCCGCUCGGGGAAGGCAGUCCUUGAUGGGCUUGAAAAACAAAACUUCUCCGUUCUUCUCAUUUUGACAGACCUGUUUCAAACUCACACUUCAGAUUCACGCUUUGGGCUCUAUUUCCGUGACUCACCAGCGGCGUGGCAUAGGUACAGCAUAAGUCAGGUCGGCCGCGCUGUGCCGACAAGGUGUGCCCAAGCACAUUUUGGUAUUUUGGUGAGCGGCGCAGCCCGGCAUAAGUAUCCCCCCUCCCUAACUCAACUCCUCCCACCGCCGGCGGGCACAAAAAUGUCAUUGUGCCAGCUGAUUUUGUCGACACCCCUCCCUACCGCGCCACUACGCCCAGCUUGGCGGACCUUGGUGCGUCUCAGUCUACGACAAUAUCAUACUGACUGUGCACCGGGCUCCGCCAGACAAAAAUACCACUGCGGGGUCCGCCAUUCUCCGCCGUGCUGCCGGCAGUCACGAAAAUAGAGCCCUUUGUGUUAGUUUUAAAACUGUGCCAACAAUGCCAAACAAACCCAAAGUCUUUCAUGCUAAAUGAAGUUGUGUUAAAGUAUGUGAAUGAGUGAGAGGAACACUUCUAUUUAAGUCAUAAGGCCUGAUCUACUAAAGGUUUGCAUGUGCAAAACACAUGCAAACUUGAACAGUGUGGCUAAAUCUGCUGUUUCUUUGAGCCUCUUUGCUGUUAUUCAACAAACUAAAAUGUGUUGUCAGGGGAUUAAAAUAGUUAUAGAUAUUUAAUGCUCUUAAAAGAUGAUUUGCGUCAUGCACAGUUGGCUUGGGCUGUGGGGACUGGGCCCAAUGAGGUGUGUUUGCAGGGACCCCAGAGUUCCUGAAAGCACCCCUAACCGAAGACGUAAAGAAAAGAAGAAUCAUGGAGGUCUAAGGUUGUCAGGAGGGUCAGUCAGGAGCCACACCCUGCAAGAAAUCCACUUUGACAGGGUAAAAUCCCCCAACUGAAUUCAUGCUAGUGACUCUGUGCUGCUGUAGCUAACUGAUUACAUAAAUUAAUGCAUAUUUUUCAGAGAUAACCUUUACUCACAGCCCCAUGACAACUUUGUUUGAGGGACAACAUUCACUGAAAAACUAUUGGAUCCCCUGAUGAGGUGGAACUUUUUACUCUAAUACAUUAUGAUAUGAUUUUAUAGCAGACUUUGUUUGAGUCCAACUUCAUCCUCAACUUUUUUAUCUAUUUUUUUAUAUCUCUUUCUUGCUUUUGUUUCCUGUAUUUCUUUUUAUUUCUUUUAUUAUUAGUAUUUUAGACCCUCUUUUAUUACUUGUUAUUGCUUUAUUUCCCCAGUUUUUUAUUUCUUUUGUUUAUUGCCAUUACUUCUUCAUUGUUUAUUUAUUUACAUUUUUUAUCACUUUUUACUGCAUUCAUCAACUUUGUCUUCUCAUACUUUUGUUUUCAUUUUCUUAACAUCCUUUGAGUCUUUCUCAAACUUCUGCACCUGUUUGGUUCUCUUGCACACAUUUUGUCACACAGCAAAAAACAAAAGCUACACAGGUUGUUAAAUGCUAAAAUGAUCAUUAAUUAAACAGUAAAAAAUCAUUUAACUAAUGGUGUCAAUUUGAAACAGGUAAGUAACAUAAAUCAGUAUAAAAACAUUGAAGAGAGGCUGAGUCUCUCAUGAUGUAGGAUGGAAAAGAGGUUGACUGCUCUGUGCGAGACUGUGUAGGCAAAUGUUGGGCAAUUUCUGAAUAAUCUUCCUUGUCAUCUACAGUGCAUAAUAUCAAUUAAUUGCUUUUUUUUUUUGAUUUAAGGAAAAGAAUUAUCACUCAAAUACUACUUCCAUUGAUUGACUAUGCCAAUGUUGUGUAUCAAAACACCACAGACACUCAUCUCAAACCUCUCAAUGUCUUAUAGAACUCUCUGUGCAGGUUUGAGGUGUCCAUAUAGAAUUCAUCACUGUCUCAUGUACAACUGUCUAAACUGGUUGCAGCCCAGAUCAAGAAGACAAUUACACUGGUAUUUCAUCAUUUAUAAAUGCACUUACUUAACCUUGUCUGCCUCAUCAUAUCCAUUUAGACAUCUCCAAUAUCCUUAAUUCAAAAUACCAAAAAUCACUAAAAAGGUAGGACAGAGAUCUUUCAGUUACAAAGUUCCCUCAGAUUGGAAUAAUCUCCCCCUAUCUCUCAGAUCUAUCUCAUCCAUCGGUCGCUUCAGGACUUCCCUUUAUUUACAUUUGGACCCGACCUGUUCAUGUUUGUAGACUGGUUGUGCUUGCUUUAUCCUAACAUAUUUGAAUGUACUCUCACUGUGCCCUUUAUUUAUUUAUUUAUUUAUUUAUAAUUGUGUUGUUUAUCAGCUGAUGGUGUGGUGGUCUGUGGGGUGGGUGGGAGAGGGUGAGCAAGCUAUGUGUAUGUAUGCUAUGUAUGUAUAUGUUUGUGCGUAUGUAUCUAUCUAUGUAUGUAUGUAUACAUGUAAGUAUCUAUAUAUCUAUGCAGUAUGUGUUUAUGUGCUCUUUUUAUGUUUUCUGCGACCCCCUCGGAAAUGAGAUGGUGCAUCUCAAGGGGCAAUCCCCUCAAUAAAAUCUGAAAUCAUUGAAAGAUUCAGGUAUCUGGAGGAAUCUCUUAAUAAAAGGACAAGUCUCAAAAGAUAGCACUGUGUGGCUGUGAUCUUAGAGCUUGCAGGCAGCACUGUCUUGAAAACAUACAGGGCUCUGUAGUGAAAGUCACUGCACGGACAUGAAGCAAUUUCCCAAAUCUAUUGUCCGUAAACACUUUAUCACUGCCUGGACAAAUGCACAUUCAAACUGUACCAUGCAAAGAGCUCAGGAUUGUUAAAGAGUUAUUUGGAAAUAAUUCAGACCAUACUGGUGGGACAUUUAUGGCAACUGAAUAUGGCUUAUAAAAUGAUGAAGUAUCAUUAUUGCAUUGCAUACAUUUUUCAACCACCAUCAGCUGCAUAAACUAGCAGCUUGAGAUAAUCAGAGAGCCUGAUGGCUUCCUCCACCCUGACAAACCAAUCCAAGCCAGCCCAGCUGCUCUGGAAGCACCAAUAAGUCACGGUUCAAUAAGUGACCCUCCAAAAGGACCAGUCAUGCAAGGCUGAGUGUAUGAGCACCAUGAAAUAUGUUUGCAGGAAGGGUGCAAUACAUGCAAGCAGAGAUCUCUCUCAUAUUUCCCCCCAGCCUCGUCUUCACACAAACAUGUGAAAUUAAGCUUCAUGAUAAAAUAUUGUUUCAUGACUUAGAAAAUGGAAAAAUUGUUCUGGUGGAAAAUCAUUGAACCAAGAUUUUUUUUUUCCUGACCAGAACUUUUUUUAAUGUUUCUCUAUAAAUGCUACUCUCAUCAGAAUCUAAUGCCAAGGCAAGCUCCUCUUAUCAUAUCAGCGAUUUGUUCCACUUUGAUUACUUAAAUGGAAAAUAAAUUACAGCUCCAAGAAUCACACUUUGAUUCAUUUGUCUGUGCUAAGUAAAGCUGGCCAACUCUGUGGAAAAUAAAUAAAUAAAACUCCUCAGGAGCUGGAAAGGAACAAAAGGAAAAAUCCAGAGUACCCAUCAUGGACUUAUUUUGGAGCCGUCAUACAUUUUGUCAGGUUUCAGUCAAAGGCGAUAAAAGUGUCAGCUAAUUCAUCACCUUUCUGCGAAGCUGAAAAUGAAAACACAUGUUGUGAGAGGAAAAAAAAGUGGCUCAGGCCUCUUCAUAAAGCCCAGGAGUGACAGGAAAUCCAUUUCUGUCGCAUGCAAUUACCAGCAUGCUGAUUCGGUGAAAAACACUCCUGCUUUAUAUUUCAUCAAGGCCAUAGAGGAGCUGAGGUGGCACUCAAUACUGGCCUCCAAAGCAGCCUACACACACUCUCACUGUACGGACAUACAUGAAUACACCGAAAAGAUGACUUUUUACACAAAUGCAUAUAGAAAUGAUAUUCAAUGAGCAAAUUGAUGUAAUAUAAAGGUAAAACAGUACCACCGUGAUCUACCAUAUUUCUGCUGAAACUAUUUGAAUUUGUUUAGUGCUGAAAAUACGUCUAAAUGAUUUCAACCAGAAGAGGACUGAGGCUGGACUUACAUCACAUAACUUCCCAUGUGAUUUUGAGUCAGUAUUAAAAAAAAAGAACCAUUUCCAGAGCCUGAAUAAAAUCAUUAGAGAUGGGCUGAAGUCUGGGCCCACUCGUGUGAUCUCUGUGAUUUGUGUAACAAAGUCUUUAGACAUGGUUCAGACUGAUUUAAGGCUGUCUUGUUGUGUCUUGGCAGGACAAAAUAAAACCUCUUCAUUGUCAUUAUGGGUCUUAAAGCUCCUCUGAGGACUUUCUGAUAUGUGACAACCUUGGCGUCUCCUGCGGAAACUACAAACUCUGAUUAUCUUGUUCUGUACGUGCAUAUGUGAUGUCUUUCGAAUGUCAAACUUACAAUAUACUAAGAACAUGUUGUGAGGAAAUUGUAAAAACAGAGCUGUUUCUUCUGCCUCUCAGCAGACACUUGCCUCCUGCCAGUAGUUUGGGAUUUAAAAGCUACUACAUUAAAAUCGCUAAUCAUGUUCCUCCUGGUUUAGUUUUCUUUUGGGCACCAUAAAGUACAAAUACACAUUUUAGUCUAUUUUGUGCAAGAACAAGAACUUCUCACAGGAGCUUUAAGUCUCAGCCUAUGCAAAUCAGGUUGUACAAUGACAUGAACAUUAUCAACAACCGAUAGGUGUGUGAUCAACGGUCCCUGACAAGGAGCCAAACAAACGAGAUAUGGAGCCAAAUAAAUGUCAAUAUUAAAUUAAUCAAGGAGUUUUUUUCGUCACUCAGGGACAAUUUUCAUAGAUCUCCUUUGACUUUAACUUUAUUCCAGGUUUAACAGCUCAUGUUACAGUUUCAGAGCAAGGUACUCUAAAUUUUAUUUAAGAAAGUUGAGGGACAUGUCUACUGCUAUAACAAUUACCACUGACCAUUGAAUGACAUAUCCUUGAGUGUUGUUCACCAAAGCCGUAUUCACACAUGCACUCUUGAAAAUUUUUAGGGCUCUCGCAUGAAAAUCCACCUGACUGUAUUGUUCACACCUACACUCACAGCAUGAUGCGGGGGCGGGGGGUAGGAUUCAGACAUCUGAAGACCCAUUGACUUCAGUCUAUAUGAGCUUCAUCAAGAGACUAGCAGAUAAAAGUAUCUCUGUCUCCAGAAAACUGUCAAAACUUGAACUGUAACAUCCUCUGAUGUUGGAUGCUGAUUAUGUUCUACUAUAUACAGUAUUUUGAGUCUGCACUUAACAUUAUUUGUUCAGAGGGCCAUUCAGAGGGUUUAAUAUACUGUCUUUUUGAACCUCAGAAGAAAAGGUUCAAACUGCACAAAGUAGAAAUGUCGGUCCAAGUGAAGAAAUCAGGAUGCAGAUAAGAACACUGAGACUUCAUCAGUUCAAUCC